rnacentral:rRNA from 1 species
UACGUAGGGGGCAAGCGUUGUCCGGAUUUAUUGGGCGUAAAGAGCGUGUAGGCGGCCAAACAGGUCAGCUGUGAAAACUCGAGGCUCAACCUCGAGACGUCGGUUGAAACCGUUUGGCUAGAGUCCGGAAGAGGAGAGUGGAAUUCCCGGUGUAGCGGUGAAAUGCGCAGAUAUCGGGAAGAACACCCGUGGCGAAGGCGGCUCUCUGGGACGGUACUGACGCUGAGACGCGGAAAGCG